CUUUUCUCAGACAUACUGGGUGGAGUAGGGGCCAUCUUUGCCGAAGAUGGCGGGUACCCCACAGAAUGCACAUCCCCAUCUCUAAGAUCUUCCCCUUUGGUUAUAAUGGGUGAAAGUCUCCCAGUAAUAGUACUAGCAUUUGAGCUAGUUCGAGGGCGAAAUGUACUCCAGCUAUCAAAGUCAUCAUUGCCGUGAGAUGACUUGCAGGGCUUUUGGAAAAUUGGGGUCCAGGGCUGUCCUCGGCACGGGCCCCCUACCCUGCCCCGCUAGACUGCAGGGGUGCUUUUUUCGUGGCAUCUCGGCUUUGCAUCCGAGCGCAUUUGCUGUUGUUGUCCAUGGAUGCAGCUCUUGUCCUAAGACAUCUCCCACCCUUGCCGCCCUCUGGAUUGAGCAUACACCGAGCACUUUUUCCAGUUCCUUCAUUCUGCGCCCGAGUCAACUUGCUGUGUAGGAACAGAAGAUGAGGAAGUGAAUUCCUCCAGCCCGCCGAGCUGUUGCUGUCGCCCUUAUGCUUGAAGCAGGGCACGCUCUUGACCAUCCACUCGCAGAUCUGCCACAGCGCGAGCCGCUUCUCCGCCGAGCUCUGGACUGCCUGGUGCUGAGGUCGGCGUGGGACAGGUUGCGCCACGCGUUGCGAUGGGACGAGCUGCUCCUGCGCUGCUGCCCCGCGAGCGGCCCGGCGGUGGCGGGUCCCGUGUGGGUGCUGCGGCAGCGAGGAGUGCAGGCCGCCCGCCUCGGGCCCUGGAGGUCCCCGCACAGCCCCCGGGGGCGGCGUCCCGGCGUCAGUGGAAGUCCUCGCUGUCCUCCAGCAGGCUCAGGUUACAAAAGGAGGAUUCGUUGA
rnacentral:lncRNA from 1 species